GCCCAGUGAUGAUACCAAGGCGAAUGUGAGCUCACUGGAUGAGAGUCUGAGUUUUUCUGUGCUCCAAUUUGGCUGGUAAUCUUGACAGGGCAGUGGAGAUUGGCUGCUUUGUUGUAAGGGCCUGCCUACAGUCACAAAGCUCCGCCCCUCAGACUCUCCUUCAGAGAAAUGUAGGGGAGAAAGUGGGAGGUGCUGAUAGUGUGAGUGCGUGUGUGCGUGUGCGGACACAGAUUCUCAGGCCCUCUGUUGUAUUCAGUCAGCUAUGAACUCUAUCUUUGGUAAUCUGAGGGUG
ensembl:snoRNA SCARNA10 Small nucleolar RNA U85